AGAGUUUGAUUAUGGCUCAGGAUGAACGCUAGCUACAGGCUUAACACAUGCAAGUCGAGGGGCAGCAUUGGAGUAGCAAUACUUCAGAUGGCGACCGGCGCACGGGUGAGUAACACGUAUCCAACCUGCCGCUUACUCGGGGAUAGCCUUUCGAAAGAAAGAUUAAUACCCGAUGGUAUAAAGAGUUCGCAUGUUCUCUUUAUUAAAGAAUUUCGGUAAGCGAUGGGGAUGCGUUCCAUUAGAUAGUUGGCGGGGUAACGGCCCACCAAGUCUACGAUGGAUAGGGGUUCUGAGAGGAAGGUCCCCCACAUUGGAACUGAGACACGGUCCAAACUCCUACGGGAGGCAGCAGUGAGGAAUAUUGGUCAAUGGACGAGAGUCUGAACCAGCCAAGUAGCGUGAAGGAUGACUGCCCUAUGGGUUGUAAACUUCUUUUAUAAGGGAAUAAAGUGAGGGACGUGUCCCUUUUUGUAUGUACCUUAUGAAUAAGGAUCGGCUAACUCCGUGCCAGCAGCUGC
rnacentral:rRNA from 1 species